UAAGAUUGGUCGGCUUUUGGACAAUAAUAAUCUGCCUCAGCUCCUCCACCGUGUUGACCGUCAGAGCGAUGCCGCGUCUCCUGGAGAGACAAGGCAAGAUUCAGCUCCACAAACCUACAGCAGUGGCAGCUCUGAGACCAUCUUGUAAUAGGAUGACAGCACCAAGAAUGGACGGUGUACCAAGGACCGCAGCAAUUUAUUUUUAAUGAGUUUAACUCUGCUUGCCCCUGCGCGUCCCCAGCAGAUUCGGUGACCACAGAUGAGGCGCGAGCUGUUCAAAGUCGGGACCCAGGGUGGACCACUCAUCUGUGCAUCAGUUGGGGACGUCUCAGCGCUGCUGACCUGUCUCCACUAAAGAUGAUCUCCUGCUGGCCCCACUAUGUACUGGACUCUUACACUAUUAUGUUAGAUCCACUAUGACUGCAGCGUGACCCCAAGGAUGCAGAGAUAGCAGGUGGAAUGCAAGUAAAACUAAUUUAAUUGUCACAAGAAGCAGGGAACAAACACUAAGCAACAAUCUAGAAAGUACAAUGAUCUAUCCCUGAAGAAGGAACCCAUGUAGCACUAAAUAGAACUGAAUAAUGAGAAUCAGGUGUGAUGGCAGUCCAUGGAACAGAAAGUAAAAGUGUUUCAAAACACAGAGAGCAAAUAGGAAAUACUGAUAAAACAAGCGCACCAGGACAGGAAGUGCUUCUAAGCACAGGAUGUUGACAACAAAACCAAAAUGGUUAUGAAGGAUCUUGACAAUUUUGCUUCUUUUGUAAGUAUAAUCCAGUGCUUUUUGUCUGCUUUAAAUGGGAACUGCACUUGUUUCUAUUUUUUCCCUAUCAUUUGCAAUCCUUAUUUUAGACAAGGACACAUAUCUUAGUUUUUUUUGUGCAGCCUAAAUUGUAAAAUACGGCUAGUCAAGAUAGUUAACAAUGUACAGUAGUUAAAGGGAUUCACUUAUUCAGCCUACAAAGCCCUCUAAAAACAUUCAAAAUCCACCAACAAUACUUCUCUUACAUGCGAUGACCUCCAUAUUAACCAAGUGUCC